AGUGAACGCUGGCGGUAGGCCUAACACAUGCAAGUCGAACGGCAGCACAGGAGAGCUUGCUCUCUGGGUGGCGAGUGGCGGACGGGUGAGGAAUACAUCGGAAUCUACCUUUUCGUGAGGGAUAACGUAGGGAAACUUACGCUAAUACCGCAUACGACCUACGGGUGAAAGUGGGGGACCGCAAGGCCUCACGCGAUUAGAUGAGCCGAUGUCCGAUAGCUAGUUGGCGGGGUAAUGGCCCACCAAGGCGACGAUCGGUAGCUGGUCUGAGAGGAUGAUCAGCCACACUGGAACUGAGACACGGUCCAGACUCCUACGGGAGGCAGCAGUGGGGAAUAUUGGACAAUGGGCGCAAGCCUGAUCCAGCCAUACCGCGUGGGUGAAGAAGGCCUUCGGGUUGUAAAGCCCUUUUGUUGGGAAAGAAAUCCUAUCGGUUAAUAACCGGUGGGGAUGACGGUACCCAAAGGAUAAGCACCGGCUAACUUCGUGCCAGCAGCCGCAGUAA
rnacentral:rRNA from 1 species